GCCUUCAUGGUGUAAUGGUCAGCACACUGAGCCGGUAUUUCAGAGGUCCGUGGUUCGAUUCCCGGCGACGGAA
rnacentral:tRNA from 1 species